GAACCACGUACCAGUACUUAGUGGCAACGGGUGAGUACACGUGAGUCACCUACCUUUAAGUGGGGGAUAACUAGCCGAAAGGUUAGCUAAUACCGCAUGUGAUCUUCGAGUGGCAUCACUUGACGAUCAAAGCAGCAAUGCGCUUAGAGACGGGACUGCGUCCCAUUAGCUAGUUGGUGGGGUAAUGGCCUACCAAGGCUCCGAUGGGUAGCUGGCUUGAGAGAGCGACCAGCCACACUGGAACUGAGACACGGUCCAGACUCAAUAGGGAGGCAGCAGUGAGGAAUUUUCCGCAAUGGGGGCGACCCUGACGGAGCGACGCCGCGUGUGGGAAGAAGGCCUUCGGGUCGUAAACCACUGUCGAAGGGGACGAUAUUGACGGUACCCUUGGAGGAAGCCCCGGCUAACUACGUGCCAGCAGCCGCGGUAAG
rnacentral:rRNA from 1 species